AACCCCAAUUUUUAAACUCACAAAAAAGCACGCGCUUUUCCUUUAGCGUUCAUCUUCUUCAUUUGGCGUCUGCAUUAACCAGCUAUAAAACUAAUUGUGAGGAAACAAAGCAAUAUUCCACUUUUUCGGCAUUUUACCAGAGCGUUUACCAGCAUUAACAAGGUUUCUACAUACAUAAUCUACAUCACCAAGACCAGACAUAAUUACAAAUUCCAAGAAAAUUACAAAAUUUUAGCAAUCACCGGCUAUACAACUAAAAAACUAAACUACCAGCGACUACAAUUAUCGGCUAGACAUCUGACAACCUACCAGCUACUACAAUCAUCAGCCAGGCCAAACUAAAUUAUAUUUAAGCAGAUAAAAACACUUAUAAGCAAAAUUUCUUGCUGUACUCAAACACCCAACAAAAUUGAUAAAAAAUGGAAGAAUCAGAACCACGUUCACCGUCACCUCUGGAGAAAAAUAAGAUAAGUGAAUUAAAAGAAACAGAAACACCGGUCAACAUUAUCCCAUCUAGUCAAGUACUUCUAUCGACUACAAAUUUUGUUUUGGUUCGAGAUGACGGUAAAUUAUUACAAAAGGACUUGUCAUCGCCGAAUGACAACUCAAUAAGUAUUCAAGAGCAAUCAGAUGAUCAAUCAACGGUAGGUGGGGAAAAUAUUUCAUUCUCAGAAUUGAUAAGUUCUUAUUGCUCCAAUGAUGAUGACAAUGAGAUGGAAGCUCUCAUAACUCUUUUGAAUGAAUGGAAAAUUCCAAAAUUUGUUCACCAAUUUUUUAUUGAUGAAAAUCUUUUUGUACCGGUGUUGAAAGUGGCAAACGAAUUUUUCAUGGAGAGGUUUUUACAAACUUUAAAUAUAACAACCGCAAGUAGGAUUGUUUUCUUUGAUAAGUGGUAUCAAUGGAAAACCGAACGGUAUACAUCUUUAUCU